rnacentral:rRNA from 1 species
UGGGGAAUAUUGGACAAUGGGGGGAACCCUGAUCCAGCCAUGCCGCGUGUGUGAAGAAGGCCUUAUGGUUGUAAAGCACUUUAAGCGAGGAGGAGGGUACUGGUAUUAAUACUACCAGGUACUGGACGUUACUCGCAGAAUAAGCACCGGCUAACUCUGUGCCAGCAGCCGCGGUAAUACAGAGGGUGCAAGCGUUAAUCGGAAUUACUGGGCGUAAAGCGCGCGUAGGUGGUUCGUUAAGUUGAAUGUGAAAGCCCCGGGCUCAAACUGGGAACUGCAUCCAAAACUGGCGAGCUAGAGUAGGGCAGAGGGUGGUGGAAUUUCCUGUGUAGCGGUGAAAUGCGUAGAUAUAGGAAGGAACACCAGUGGCGAAGGCGACCACCUGGGCUCAUACUGACACUGAGGUGCGAAAGCGUGGGGAGCAAACAGG